AGUGAACGCUGGCGGUAGGCCUAACACAUGCAAGUCGAACGGCAGCACAGUAAGAGCUUGCUCUUACGGGUGGCGAGUGGCGGACGGGUGAGGAAUACAUCGGAAUCUACUUUUUCGUGGGGGAUAACGUAGGGAAACUUACGCUUAUACCGCAUACGACCUACGGGUGAAAGCAGGGGAUCUUCGGACCUUGCGCGAUUGAAUGAGCCGAUGUCGGAUUAGCUAGUUGGCGGGGUAAAGGCCCACCAAGGCGACGAUCCGUAGCUGGUCUGAGAGGAUGAUCGCCCACACGGGAACUGAGCCACGGUCCAGACUCCUACGGGAGGCAGCAGUGGGGAAUAUUGGACAAUGGGCGCAAGCCUGAUCCAGCCAUACCGCGUGGGUGAAGAAGGCCUUCGGGUUGUAAAGCCCUUUUGUUGGGAAAGAAAAGCAGCAGGUUAAUACCCCGCUGUUCUGACGGUACCCAAAGAAUAAGCACCGGCUAACUUCGUG
rnacentral:rRNA from 1 species